rnacentral:rRNA from 1 species
CGCAUGGACGAAGUCUGACGGAGCAACGCCGCGUGAGUGAUGAAGGUUUUCGGAUCGUAAAGCUCUGUUGUUAGGGAAGAACAAGUGCCGUUCAAAUAGGGCGGCACCUUGACGGUACCUAACCAGAAAGCCACGGCUAACUACGUGCCAGCAGCCGCGGUAAUACGUAGGUGGCAAGCGUUGUCCGGAAUUAUUGGGCGUAAAGGGCUCGCAGGCGGUUUCUUAAGUCUGAUGUGAAAGCCCCCGGCUCAACCGGGGAGGGUCAUUGGAAACUGGGGAACUUGAGUGCAGAAGAGGAGAGUGGAAUUCCACGUGUAGCGGUGAAAUGCGUAGAGAUGUGGAGGAACACCAGUGGCGAAGGCGACUCUCUGGUCUGUAACUGACGCUGAGGAGCGAAAGCGUGGGGAGCGAACAGGAUUAGAUACCCUGGUAGUCCACGCCGUAAACGAUGAGUGCUAAGUGUUAGGGGGUUUCCGCCCCUUAGUGCUGCAGCUAACGCAUUAAGCACUCCGCCUGGGGAGUACGGUCGCAAGACUGAAACUCAAAGGAAUUGACGGGGGCCCGCACAAGCGGUGGAGCAUGUGGUUUAAUUCGAAGCAACGCGAAGAACCUUACCAGGUCUUGACAUCCUCUGACAAUCCUAGAGAUAGGACGUCCCCUUCGGGGGCAGAGUGACAGGUGGUGCAUGGUUGUCGUCAGCUCGUGUCGUGAGAUGUUGGGUUAAGUCCCGCAACGAGCGCAACCCUUGAUCUUAGUUGCCAGCAUUCAGUUGGGCACUCUAAGGUGACUGCCGGUGACAAACCGGAGGAAGGUGGGGAUGACGUCAAAUCAUCAUGCCCCUUAUGACCUGGGCUACACACGUGCUACAAUGGACAGAACAAAGGGCAGCGAAACCGCGAGGUUAAGCCAAUCCCACAAAUCUGUUCUCAGUUCGGAUCGCAGUCUGCAACUCGACUGCGUGAGCUGAUCGCUAGUAUCGCGGAUCAGCAUGCCGCGUGAUACGUCCCGGCUGUACACACGCCGUCACACACGAGAGUGGUACACCGAGUCGUGAG